ACCACCUAGAGUUUGGUUUUGUACUCCAACACAUACCAAAUCCUAGGUCAAGUAGCCCUCACUUGCAUUUUUCUCUCUUCUUCUCUCUCUUUCUAUUCUUCUCUCUCUUUUUUUUCUUAAUUUUUUCAAAAUUUUUCUACUUAAUCCUCACUUAUCCCAUGCCCAAGUGCCAGGAUAUCUGCUUCAAAAUCUAUAGGAGGUGUCCUCUAUAAAUAGGAAAUGAAGAG
rnacentral:lncRNA from 1 species